UUUUAAAGCAAUCUAAGCCUUCUGAACUUAUUACAAUUAAACAUCUUCACCAUAAAUCAUCUAUUCUUCAUACCUGAGAUGCCGAGCUUUCCGAAUGAGUCUUUGUUCUUCAAUUUGGAUCUUUUCUUCAAACUUCCGCAAUCAACUCUUCAAGACUCCAUUCAACUUUACGAAAUCAGCCAACCUAUAAAAUCCUUAACAGGACCCACACCUUCAGGCUCUUUCCCCCGGCCGU
rnacentral:lncRNA from 1 species